rnacentral:rRNA from 1 species
UACGUAGGGUGCAAGCGUUGUCCGGAAUUAUUGGGCGUAAAGAGCUCGUAGGCGGUCUGUUGCGUCGGCUGUGAAAACCCGGGGCUCAACUCCGGGCCUGCAGCCGAUACGGGCAGACUAGAGUUCGGCAGGGGAGACUGGAAUUCCUGGUGUAGCGGUGAAAUGCGCAGAUAUCAGGAGGAACACCGGUGGCGAAGGCGGGUCUCUGGGCCGAUACUGACGCUGAGGAGCGAAAGCGUGGGGAGCAAACAGG